GUUGACCUCGGAUCAGGUAGGAAUACGCGCUGAACUUAAGCAUAUCAAUAAGCGCAGGAAAAGAAACCAACAGGGAUUGCCUCAGUAACGGCGAGUGAAGCGGCAACAGCUCAAAUUUGAAAUCUGGCCUCUUGGGGUCCGAGUUGUAAUUUGUAGAGGAUGUUUUGGGUACCGCCCCGGUCUAAAUUUCUUGGAACAGAAUGUCAAAGAGGGUGAGAAUCCCGUCUUGGACCGGCGGUAGGGCCUGUGUAAAACUCCUUCGACGAGUCGAGUUGUUUGGGAAUGCAGCUCAAAAUGGGUGGUAAAUUUCAUCUAAAGCUAAAUAUUGGCCAGAGACCGAUAGCGCACAAGUAGAGUGAUCGAAAGAUGAAAAGCACUUUGAAAAGAGAGUUAAACAGUAUGUGAAAUUGUUGAAAGGGAAGCGCUUGCAACCAGACUUGCGCGCGGCGGUUCCCCUUGCCUUUUGGUCAGGGUACUCCGUCGCGUUCAGGCCAACAUCGGUUUUGGGGGCCAGUUAAAGGCCCUGGGAAUGUACCUACCUACGGGUAGACUUAUAGACCAGGGUGCCAUGUGGCCUCCCGGGACCGAGGAACGCGCUUCGGCUCGGAUGUUGGCGUAAUGGUUGUCAGCGACCCGUCUUGAAACACGGACCAAGGAGUCUAACAUCUAUGCGAGUGUUUGGGUGUCAAACCCGGAACGCGGAAUGAAAGUGAACGGAGGUAGGAAGCUUCGGCUGCACUAUCGACCGAUCCUGAAGUUUACGGAUGGAUUUGAGUAAGAGCAUAGCUGUUGGGACCCGAAAGAUGGUGAACUAUGCCUGAAUAGGGUGAAGCCAGAGGAAACUCUGGUGGAGGCUCGCAGCGGUUCUGACGUGCAAAUCGAUCGUCAAAUUUGGGUAUAGGGGCGAAAGACUAAUCGAACCAU
rnacentral:rRNA from 1 species